rnacentral:rRNA from 1 species
AACGAACGCUGGCGGCAUGCCUAACACAUGCAAGUCGAACGAAACCUUCGGGUCUAUUGGCGCACGGGUGCGUAACGCGUGGGAACCUGCCCUUAGGUUCGGAAUAACUCCCCGAAAGGGGUGCUAAUACCGGAUAAUGUCUUCGGACCAAAGAUUUAUCGCCUUUGGAUGGGCCCGCGUUGGAUUAGGCAGUUGGUAGGGUAAAAGCCUACCAAGGCGACGAUCCAUAGCUGGUCUGAGAGGAUGAUCAGCCACACUGGGACUGAGACACGGCCCAGACUCCUACGGGAGGCAGCAGUGGGGAAUAUUGGAGAAUGGGCGAAAGCCUGAUCCAGCAAUGCCGCGUGAGUGAUGAAGGCCUUAGGGUUGUAAAGCUCUUUUACCCGGGAUGAUAAUGACAGUACCGGGAGAAUAAGCUCCGGCUAACUCCGUG